ensembl:misc_RNA Metazoa_SRP Metazoan signal recognition particle RNA
GCUGGGCAUGGUGGCGCAUGCCUGUAAUCCCAGCUACUCAGGAGGCUGAGGCGGGAGAAUUGCCUGAACCCAGGAGGCGAAGGUUGCAGUGAGCUGAGAUCAUGCAACUAUGCUGCAGCCUGGGUGACAGAGCAAGACUCCCGUCUCAA